AUGAAGUACAUGAAUAAUGGGUGCUCUCUAAUGAAAGUGAGGGAUUCCCUUUUAUAGAAUAAGGGCUCACUCCUCAAUACAUAAGUGAUGGGCUAGAGUCCCCCAAAUAUUUUUCAUGAGGCCCAGUUGAGGCCCAAUAUAUGGUACAUAAUGUAGUCCCCCAAGUCUUCGGUCAAUAGAGUCUGUUGGCUGGAGACUUCAAAUUGAAUCCAUGUAUGGGCCGAAGUGGCGGUUGUUCGGAGGCGGUCUUUGUAGACCAUGCACUGAAGCUUUGUAAGUGAAGCUUUGCAAGUGAAGCUUUGAAGCUAUAGCUCUGUAAAUGAAUCUUUUGAAGCUGAUUGACAUGAAUGAUGCUCAUGAAUGUUUAUGUUGAUUGACAUGAGUGAUGCUCAUGGAUGUUAACAUGAGUGAUGCUCAUGAAUGUUAACAUGAGUGAUGCUCAUGAAUGUU
rnacentral:sRNA from 1 species